GCUGGGUGUGGUGGCAAAUGUCUGUAAUCCCAGCAGCUUGGGAGGCUGAGGCAGGAGGAUCAUGAGUUCAAAGCCAGCCUCAGCAACUGAGAGGUGCUAAGCAACUCAGUGAGAAUCUGUCUCUA
rnacentral:sRNA from 1 species